GACAGGACGUUCGUCAUUUUGCUGUGGAAUGUACUCUUAUCAGUAGUGUGUGUGUGCUUCGCUGAACGGCAAGGAGAAAUCAUGUCUGCAACGAGCGAUGGACUUUGUAUCUUGUAAAUACCUUUGUAUAUAUUUGGAAUAAAGCCUUAGAACCGCUGCCUUCAGCUGACUUGCGACUGAGGUGUCGUUUGUCGGUACUGCUUCUCCGGACGGGCAAGCAGUCUGACCGAGGAGGAAUUGGACAUUCUGCACCACAUUUUGCUAUAGUUUUUCAAUGAAUAUUUCAGAAAGUCCCAACCAAUUCAACAUACUCUGUGGCAGCUGCAAAAAUGAAGUUUCUGGAGUAGAACAACUAUUUUCAAAGCAGGCGUUUGUCGCUUGUAAUAUCUGCUGCAAGAGUGUUUCCAUCUAUCCUGAUGCCAGCUCUCCCGGUCCUCAGAUGUGAUCAGUUUAUUUUUAAUUAAAGGGAGCUGCCUCGCGCAAUUCAGAUUAAUCAAACCCGCAUUAGAGAGGGAAAGGGGGAGACAAGUCGCUAAGAUGCCUCGCUCAAGCACUCAUGGCUAGGGCCAUUUCGCACAAUUGGCCAAUUCAUAUGAACAGUGUCUCCCGUUGCAUAAAAAGGCUGGGCACGUUGGCUGAAAAGCCUGACAGAAGGUGUGAUGAUCCUUUUUCCAGCUCCAAUAAAAUAAAAAAAUGCAUGGAAAUACGAGGGUUGAAUGAAAAGUAAUGCCUCCAUGUCAGAACCCUGCUACUAGAGCCUGGAUGUGGCUCUGAGUUUCAGGGUCACUGACAUUGAUAAGACACCUGCGGCUCAGGACUCGGAGAAGAAACGGCUGCUGGACUUGGCGGGGAAUUUGCGCGGGGUUUUGCUGAGCGGGAAGAGACUUUUCAAAUGAGGGGGAGGGUAUAUAAAGGAUGGUUGGCCGGAGCCUCCCAUUCUUGGCUUUUUUGAUGUUCAUGUUUCCUGCAGUAAAAGUUUCUGGUGAUA